UGGGGAAUAUUGGACAAUGGGCGCAAGCCUGAUCCAGCAAUGCCGCGUGUGUGAAGAAGGCCUUCGGGUUGUAAAACACUUUUAUCAGGAGCGAAACGCUGUCGGCUAAUACCCGGCGGAACUGACGGUACCUGAGGAAUAAGCACCGGCUAACUUCGUGCCAGCAGCCGCGGUAAUACGAAGGGUGCAAGCGUUAAUCGGAAUUACUGGGCGUAAAGCGUGCGUAGGCGGUUUCUUAAGUCUGCUGUGAAAUCCCCGGGCUCAACCUGGGAAUGGCAGUGGAUACUGGGAGGCUAGAGUGUGUCAGAGGGUGGUGGAAUUCCCGGUGUAGCGGUGAAAUGCGUAGAGAUCGGGAGGAACAUCAGUGGCGAAGGCGGCCACCUGGGACAACACUGACGCUGAGGCACGAAAGCGUGGGGGAGCAAACAGGAUUAGGAUACCCUGGUAGUCCACGCCCUAAAGCGAUGCGAACUGGAUAUUGGUCUCAACUCGGAGAUCAGUGUCGAAGCUAACGCGUUAAGUUCGCCGCCUGGGGAGUACGGUCGCAAGACUGAAACUU
rnacentral:rRNA from 1 species